GAUGAACGCUGGCGGCGUGCCUAAUACAUGCAAGUCGAGCGAACGGACGAGAAGCUUGCUUCUCUGAUGUUAGCGGCGGACGUGUGAGUAACACGUGGAUCACCUACCUAUAAGACUGGGAUAACUUCGGGAAACCGUAGCUAAUACCGGAUAAUAUUUUGAACCGCAUGGUUCAAAAGUGAAAGACGGUCUUGCUGUCACUUAUAGCUGGAUCCGCGCUGCAUUAGCUAGUUGGUAAGGUAACGGCUUGCCAAGGCAACGAUGCAUAGCCGACCUGAGAGGGUGAUCGGCCACAUUGGAACGGAGACACGGACCAGACGCCUAAGGGAGGCAGCAGUAGGGAAUGGGACGCAAAGGGCGAAAGCAUGACGGAGCAAGGCCGCGUGAGUGAUGAAGGUCUUCGGAGCGUAAAACUCUGUUAUUAGGGAAGAACAGAUGUGUAAGUAACUGUGCACAUCUUGACGGUAACUAAUCAGAAAGCCACGGCUAACUACGUG
rnacentral:rRNA from 1 species